rnacentral:rRNA from 1 species
AGUGAACGCUGGCGGUAGGCCUAACACAUGCAAGUCGAACGGCAGCACAGUAAGAGCUUGCUCUUACGGGUGGCGAGUGGCGGACGGGUGAGGAAUACAUCGGAAUCUACUUUUUCGUGGGGGAUAACGUAGGGAAACUUACGCUAAUACCGCAUACGACCUACGGGUGAAAGCAGGGGAUCUUCGGACCUUGCGCGAUUGAAUGAGCCGAUGUCGGAUUAGCUAGUUGGCGGGGUAAAGGCCCACCAAGGCGACGAUCCGUAGCUGGUCUGAGAGGAUGAUCAGCCAAACUGGAACUGAGGCACGGGCCAGACUCCUACGGGAGGCAGCAGGGGGGAAUAUUGGACAAUGGGCGCAAGCCUGAUCCAGCCAUACCGCGUGGGUGAAGAAGGCCUUCGGGUUGUAAAGCCCUUUUGUUGGGAAAGAAAAGCAGCAGGUUAAUACCCCGCUGUUCUGACGGUACCCAAAGAAUAAGCACCGGCUAACUUCGUG